UUGGAGGGCAAGUCUGGUGCCAGCAGCCGCGGUAAUUCCAGCUCCAAUAGCGUAUAUUAAAGUUGUUGCAGUUAAAAAGCUCGUAGUUGAAUUUCGGGAUUAGUACGUCGGUCGUGCCUUAGGUACGUACUGGUGUUACUGGUUCCUACCUUCUGACGAACCAUCAUGUCAUUAAUUUGGUGUGGUGGGGAAUCAGGACUGUUACUUUGAAAAAAUUAGAGUGUUUAAAGCAGGCUCGCGCUUGAAUACAUUAGCAUGGAAUAAUGAAAUAGGACGUUGAUCCUAUUUUGUUGGUUUCUAGGAUUGACGUAAUGAUUAAUAGGGAUAGUUGGGGGCAUUAGUAUUCAAUUGUCAGAGGUGAAAUUCCUGGAUUUAUUGAAGACUAACUACUGCGAAAGCAUUUGCCAAGGAUGUUUUCAUUAAUCAAGAACGAAAGUUAGGGGAUCGAAGACGAUCAGAUACCGUCGUAGUCUUAACCAUAAACUAUGCCGACUAGGGAUCGGAUGAUGUUAAUUUUUUAAUGACUCAUUCGGCACCUUACGGGAAAC
rnacentral:rRNA from 1 species